GAGUUCAAGAGUACGUGAAAUCGUCUGGGAGUAAACGGGUGGUUCCCGAAAGUGCGAAAGGGGAGAUUCAGGUCUCGCCGCGCGUGGGAAGGAUCUCGCGACCAGAGAUGGCGUUCUCGCGGCCGAGGGGCGACCCUCGGUCCGGGGGGGCGACCCUCGGUCCGGGGGCGCCACUCCGCGGGCUCCGUCCCUCCCGGAGUGACGCACUUCUCCCCCGGUAGAACGUCGCGACCCGUCGGGUGCCGGCCUAAGGUCCCGGGUGGAGCCUCGCAUUCUUCCGCGAGAGACCCCGGGGAUCCCGGCCGGUCGCCCGACGGCACGAAGAGAGGAAGGAGUCGACGCGCCGCUCGGUCGGCGUCCGGCCCUCCGCAAGCACCCGCGGUAGUCCGGGGUUCCGGGCCCGGCCCGGUCUCGGUCCCUCCGCGGGGCUGUUUGCGAUCAGGAGGUGUCCUCGGAC
rnacentral:rRNA from 1 species